AUUGAACGCUGGCGGCAGGCCUAACACAUGCAAGUCGAACGAGCGGCGGACGGGAGCGUGAGACCUAGGAGUCUGCCAGGUAGCGGGUGGUAGCGGCCGGACACUGGCGCUAAUACCUCAUACUCUCCUAUCAUCCCAGGUGGGAUUAGCUGCUUGGUGGGGUAAAGGCCUACCAGGGCGACGAUCCGAAACUGGUGUGAGAGGAUGAUCAGUCACACUGGAACUGAGACACGGUCCAGACUCCUACGGGAGGCAGCAGUGGGGAAGAUUGGACAAGGGGCGAAAGCCUGAUGCAGCCAUGCCGCGUGUGUGAAGAAGGUCUUCGGAUUGUAAAGUACUUUAAGUGGGGAGGCGUUACCAACAGAAUAAGCACCGGCUAACUUCGUGCCAGCAGCCGCGGUAAUAC
rnacentral:rRNA from 1 species